GAUGAACGCUGGCGGCGUGCUUAACACAUGCAAGUCGAACGAUGAUCCCAGCUUGUUGGGGGAUUAGUGGCGAACGGGUGAGUAACACGUGAGUAACCUGCCCUUAACUCUGGGAUAAGCCUGGGAAACUGGGUCUAAUACCGGAUAUGACUCCUCAUCGCAUGGUGGGGGGUGGAAAGCUUUUUGUGGUUUUGGAUGGACUCGCGGCCUAUCAGCUUGUUGGUGAGGUAAUGGCUCACCAAGGCGACGACGGGUAGCCGGCCUGAGAGGGUGACCGGCCACACUGGGACUGAGACACGGCCCAGACUCCUACGGGAGGCAGCAGUGGGGAAUAUUGCACAAUGGGCGCAAGCCUGAUGCAGCGACGCCGCGUGAGGGAUGACGGCCUUCGGGUUGUAAA
rnacentral:rRNA from 1 species